UCUCUCCCAUUCCUUUAUUUAUCAUUCCCCUCUCUCCCAAUCUUUCUCCUCACACUACUACUACUCCUUCUCUCUCUCUCUCUAUGUUCAUCUCUCUCUCUCUCUCAUUCACACCCCCUCUCCCCUCCAAACCCUAAUUCUCAUCCAUUGGAGUUGAGCACAAGAUGGGAAGCUUACUUUUUGAGAGGAAUGUUGUUUGGCUCGAGGCCAUGACAAGAUCCAUCCUCACAUAUAUGCAUCUUUUUGCAUAAAUUUAUAUCGAAUAUUACUUUUAUAAUAUGUCGGUAUUUCCAUGGAUCAUAUGUUAGGCGUCGGACCAGGCUUCAUUCCCCCCAAUUUCUUGCUUCAAUUCCUUGCAAUACAAUUUCAGCCCUUUGUCGGUCGUCGGCUACGCUGAUUGGUGUAAUGAUUAUGAAAGUUGACUUGAGCUUUCAAAGAAGAAAGGAGCAUAUAUGUACCCUCUGCACCCCUACUACUAGAAAUAUUUCUUCAUCAUUACUCUAUCUAUUUUUCUUUUCUAACUGAUGUAAAAUGGUUUUUUGUUUUGUUUGUUAACUUUUAAUUCCUUUGUCGGUUUACUAGUAUGUAUGAGCUCCAUCAUCAUAUUAUGAUGAUUACUGCCAUCAUGGCCUAAAAAAUCUGCUCUCUUUUUCUGCUUUC